rnacentral:rRNA from 1 species
AUUGAACGCUGGCGGCAGGCCUAACACAUGCAAGUCGAGCGAGCGGCGGACGGGUGAGUAAUGUAUGGGGACUGCCCGAUAGAGGGGGAUAACUACUGGAAACUGUGGCUAAUACCGCAUACUAUCGGAUCACACCAAUGGGAUUAGCUAGUAGGUGGGGUAAAGGCUCACCUAGGCGACGAUCUCUAGCUGGUCUGAGAGGAUGAUCAGCCACAGUGGGACGGAUACACGGCCCAGAUUCCUACGGAGGCAGCAUAGGGGAAUAUUGCACAAUGGGCGCAAGCCGGAUGAAGCCAUGCCGCGUGUAUGACGAAGGCCUUAGGAUUGUAAAGUACUUGCAGCGGGGAGGCGUUACCCGCAGAAGAAGCACCGGCUAACUCCGUGCCAGCAGCCGCGGUAAUUC